rnacentral:lncRNA from 1 species
CAACACCAGCACAAGCAGACAGCACAUUCACAAGUGUACAAUUAUCAGGCUUCACUUUAGCUCUCAGCAUAUCCUCAAAAAGAGCCAAAACUUCAGCAAACCUAUCAGCCUUAGUAUACCCACUAAUCAUAAUAUUCCACGAAACAACAUCUUUCACCAACAUUUCAUCAAACACUUUCCUUGCUUCAUCCACCAACCGUAUACCCAGUAAUCAUAACAUUCCACGAAACAACAUCUUUCACCAACAUUUCAUCAAACACUUUCCUUGCUUCAUCCACCAGCCCAACAUUCACAUAACCAGAAACC